rnacentral:rRNA from 1 species
UACGAAGGGUGCAAACGUUGCUCGGAAUUAUUGGGCGUAAAGCGCACGUAGGCGGCUUGGCAAGUCGGAUGUGAAAUCCCUCGGCUCAACCAAGGAAGUGCAUCCGAAACUGCUAAGCUUGAGUACUUAGGAGGAUCGCGGAAUUCCCGGUGUAGAGGUGAAAUUCGUAGAUAUCGGGAGGAACACCAGUGGCGAAGGCGGCGAUCUGGGAAGAUACUGACGCUGAGGUGCGAAAGCGUGGGGAGCAAACAGG